UACGAAGGGAGCUAGCGUUGUUCGGAAUCACUGGGCGUAAAGCGCACGUAGGCGGAUGUGUCAGUCAGGGGUGAAAUCCCGGAGCUCAACUUCGGAACUGCCUUUGAUACUGGGUAUCUCGAGUAUGGAAGAGGUGAGUGGAAUUCCGAGUGUAGAGGUGAAAUUCGUAGAUAUUCGGAGGAACACCAGUGGCGAAGGCGGCUCACUGGUCCAUUACUGACGCUGAGGUGCGAAAGCGUGGGGAGCAAACAGG
rnacentral:rRNA from 1 species